CUAACUGUUCCAAGAACAUAUACUAUCGCCAAAGCCAUUGUUUUGGCCGCGCCAGUUUGAGACAGGUGGGAAACUUGGAAGACGGAGUUUGGAAAGGAGAUAGAUGCUCGCGAUAUUGUCAUCUGAGACAAUGAGGCACCAGUGACCACGGUAAUCAUCUAAAGCUUGCAUCUUACUGAGAGCUCACAAAAGUUUAUUUAUUUAUUUAUUUUACAUUUCACAGAAAUACACAAAGCAUAUUGCCAUGAAACGGAGUUUUCGGUUGAUGCUCGUGGAGUCGUAAGAAACCUGCUUGAGGUUGCAAAGGGAUCUGGUACGUAGUAAAUUCUAGACUCGGUGGAUAUGUAUGGUUUUAUGGAAUGAUAGUCGAUAGUCAUAAUGUUUUUGUUUUUCCUUAAAUCUUCGAUCCUUGCAGACACUGGAAAUGAACGAAAGCUGAUGGCUUCCAUGGGAAAAGGAAACAAAUGGGGAGUGCUCAGCUUCUUUUUCCCGUGAAAAGCCUUGUUAUUUGCAAGAAGAAAAGUGGUAAGCGGUCCCUUAUGUGGCUGAUAAAUUCCCUGCCACCACUGGAUUGAAUUUCCAGGCCUGCUGCGUACCAAAUGCUUGGUUUGCAGAUGCCGGGCGAAGCACGAGAGGAUGAUACCACGCACUGUUCUGAUACUGAUUGUCGUUCUGCAGAGCCCACUGCAAGUUGGUUCCAUCCAGAUUGAUCGCGAGAUAGUCCGUUUUUGAAGCCUGGAAUCGGUUCUCAGACCACACGAAACCGUAGUCGAGAGGAUCAUAUUGAGUCAAGAGCACCUGCCAUGAUCAUCCAAUUCGUUUAGUUUGCGAACUUCUUCAAGUUUUCAACAGUGUGCACUAGUUACCUUGUCUCCCGGCUUGGUUGACCCCUUGAGAGCAAGACCAGUCACCUUGUUUAUGAGAACGAACGAGGUGAAGUACGUGGUAUCAUCUCUUCCUCCAGCGGGAACCUUGUACCAUGUCUAUAUGUAAUAAAAUAGAAUGAGAUAUGAUUACAAAGAACGACAAAAAGUACAAACCAUGCCGUCGAGAGGAACGUUGCUUGGAUGAAUAGCCACCACGUUUGUCUCAUCGUUGUGCUUGACUGCAUUCUUGAAAGUUACAUCCACAUUUUGCUGCUUCCAAGUCAAGUAUUGCUCAUACCAGUCGCAUAUAAUCCUGUACUCUUGAGAAGGCUCUGUGCAGCAUCAUCAUAUGAACCACAACCGAGAAGAACAAAUCAUAUGCUUACCGUAAGUGACGAGCUUCCAGUGGGAGUUUCCAUCGCUGUUGGAUGUCACCACUGGCACCCCAUCCUUGAAGCUAGCACUUGAGGAAGUGUGGCUCAGAAAAAAUGACUUGUUUCCAGUCAUGGUGAUCAAGACUUGAUUUUCGUGGCUCCCGGAAAUACGCCACAGGAGAUAAUCGUCUUGGACUGCCGGAUCAUAGUCUCCAAUAGUAGCCUUUUGCCAUCAAAAUUCCAUAUGAUCAGCAACAGUGUAUAGUAUGAAUACUGUUUUCUGUUUACCUUGCUUCGAGACGUUGAGUGUGCCUGGGACCGGAGAGCUUUCUUAGAGCCGUGGUUUACAAACACGAACGCGGAGUCCUGGUUCAGCAAGUUCCAUGACUCAUCCCUGUACCACAGCUGCACAAGAGUUUCCCAUGAUGAUCGACAACCGGCAAAGUUUCCAAAGAUUUUACCUGGAAGGGGUUGAGCGCGUCCUUGGACCUGAGAACAAUCUGGGUGCCUUGCUGAGUAAUGCAAUAGCCAGGAUAAGCAGCGGACUCGAUGGUGUAGAACUUUGGAGCUGCUGUGAGAGCCAUGUCUCUAAACUCUUAAGAAAAGACUAAAGCUUUUGAGAAGCCAAAGGGAUGAGUGUGAAGUUAUAGAGCUCUUUGAACGUAUGCCAAUUUAUAUAGUGGCAAGCUUCUCUCGCAUUAUCCCAUGUGUUUCACACUGUCUUCCACUUCCUUACGCUUCUUACACUGACUUUGUGCCUGCCAUAUCCCAUGUGUUUUUUGUGCCUGGUAGCGUUGGUUGAAAGGUUGAGUUAUAAGCAAGCUUAUCCAUGGUGUAAUAAAAAAUGUUUUAAAAUUAUUUUUAAUGAAUAUAUUAGUGAUAUAAUAUCUAACAAAUAUUAAAUUUAUUUAUUGAUAAGGGUAAAGUCACAAAAAGAUGAAAAUUAAUAAAUGUAAGUUAAUAAUAUAAAAACUUAGAAAUCAUUAUUUUAGGCGUCGCAACGCUUGUUUUGUUAGAAGAAAUUAUUUGGCGAAGGAGGCAACCACGAGUGAACUGGUGACCUAUCGGACUGCAGCCGAUUGCUCUACCUCCAUUAACAUGUUAAUUAACUGAGUCUUCUUUAAUCUGACAGCUGAGCGAGCUAGGUUUACAGGGACGAGCGCGCUUGAUCAGUGCGUAGGAGAAAAUGGCAUGGAAGCAGCCGCCCAAGCAGCAGCGACGGCAGCGACCCUUGCUACUGUCGCUCCCACUCGCGAUUGCGGCGCUGGUGUCCAAUUUUCUCGAUCUUAUAUGUUCUUUCCUUUGUUUUCUUCGUUGGAGAGUAGUGAUACUUCAAUGCUUUCUUUUUACAGGAAAGAAAUGGGCUUGGAUUGACUGCAACCGUGAAGGAUGCUUGCAAGAUCGUGCUGAAAUAUCCGGAGGGAACAAAUAGUACCUGGGUAAGCAACUAGAAAUAGUUUUGCGUGAUCGAAGCUUACAAGUUUACUCGGUACAGCGUAAUGAGCAGUUCAAAAUCUACGAGCCACUGGAAUAUGAAUUUGACGUCUGCGAGACGCUGCUCCUGUGGGAACAGGUACUUUGCUGCAAGUUUUGCUCUUGAUUCAAAUAACACUUUUGAGUUUGCAGUAUCGAAACGUCACAACGAUAUUGACUCGCGAGUAUUUGGAUGCACGUCCCGAUGGCUGGAUGGACUACGCUGCAAAACGAAUAGCUCAACUGUAAGCUAAGCUUGAUGUUGAUGGAAGUUUUUAAUCUAGUUGUGCAGGGGUGCAGCUAACUGUUCCAACCGAAGCCUGUGCGAAGAACAUCUCGAGUUGAUACUACCGCCAAAGCCACCGUUUUGGCCGCGCCAGUUUAGGACGUGUGCGGUGGUGGGAAACUCGGGCGACCUUUUAAAGACGGAGUUUGGAAAGGAGAUAGAUGCUCACGAUAUUGUCAUCCGAGACAAUGAGGCACCAGUGACCACGGUAAUCACCUCACAAAGGUUGCGUACUACUGAGCUCGCAAAAGUUGCUUUCAUUUCACAGAAAUACGCAAAGCAUGUUGGCAUGAAACGGAGUUUUCGAUUGAUGGCUCGUGGAGUAGUAAGAAACCUGCUUGAGGUUGCAAAGGGAUCUG
rnacentral:lncRNA from 1 species